GAUGAACGCUGGCGGUAUGCUUAACACAUGCAAGUCGAACGGGAUAUCUUCGGAUAUUUAGUGGCGGACGGGUGAGUAACGCGUGAGAACAUGCCCUCAGGUUCGGGACAACAGUUGGAAACGACUGCUAAUACCGAAUGUGCCGAGAGGUGAAAGAUUAAUUGCCUAGGGAUUGGCUCGCGUCAGAUUAGCUAGUUGGUAGAGUAACGGUUUACCAAGGCGACGAUCGUAACUGGUCUGAGAGGAUGACCAGUCACACUGGGACUGAGACACGGCCCAGACUCCUACGGGAGGCAGCAGUGGGGAAUUUUCCGCAAUGGCGAAAGCCUGACGGAGCAAUACCGCGUGAGGGAGGACGGCUCUUGGGUUGUAAACCUCUUUUAUCAGGGAAGAAGAAUCUGACGGUACCUGAUGAAUCA
rnacentral:rRNA from 1 species